UACGUAGGGGGCAAGCGUUGUCCGGAUUUAUUGGGCGUAAAGAGCGUGUAGGCGGCUUGGUAGGUCCGCUGUGAAAACUCGAGGCUCAACCUCGAGAUGUCGGCGGAAACCACUUGGCUAGAGUCCGGAAGAGGAGAGUGGAAUUCCUGGUGUAGCGGUGAAAUGCGCAGAUAUCAGGAAGAACACCUAUGGCGGAGGCAGCUCUCUGGGACGGUACUGACGCUGAGACGCGAAAGCGUGGGGAGCGAACAGG
rnacentral:rRNA from 1 species